rnacentral:rRNA from 1 species
UACGAAGGGGACUAGCGUUGUUCGGAAUUACUGGGCGUAAAGCGCACGUAGGCGGAUUUGUUAGUCAGGGGUGAAAUCCCGGGGCUCAACCUCGGAACUGCCUUUGAUACUGCAAAUCUCGAGUCCGAUAGAGGUGGGUGGAAUUCCUAGUGUAGAGGUGAAAUUCGUAGAUAUUAGGAAGAACACCGGUGGCGAAGGCGGCCCACUGGAUCGGUACUGACGCUGAGGUGCGAAAGUGUGGGGAGCAAACAGG